GUCAGUGUAGCUUAGUGGUUAAGGAGCUUGACUGGUAACUGAAAGGUUGCCGGUUCGAUUCCCCGCUGGGA